rnacentral:rRNA from 1 species
UACGAAGGGGGCGAGCGUUGUUCGGAAUUACUGGGCGUAAAGGGCGCGUAGGCGGCCGAUCAAGUCAGAUGUGAAAGUCCUGGGCUUAACCUGGGGACUGCAUUUGAUACUGGUUGGCUUGAAUUCGGGAGAGGAUAGCGGAAUUCCCAGUGUAGAGGUGAAAUUCGUAGAUAUUGGGAAGAACACCGGUGGCGAAGGCGGCUAUCUGGACCGACAUUGACGCUGAGGCGCGAAAGCGUGGGGAGCAAACAGG